rnacentral:rRNA from 1 species
GACGAACGCUGGCGGCGUGCUUAACACAUGCAAGUCGAACGGAAAGGCACUGCUUUUGUGGGGUGAUCGAGUGGCGAACGGGUGAGGAACACGUGAGUAACCUGCUCUUGACUUUGGGAUGACUUCAGGAAACUGGGGCUACUACAGGAUAGGAGCUCCUGUUGGAGGGUGGGGGUUGGAACGUUGAGGCGGGUGCGGUUGGACGCGCGGCUGACGAGUUUGUUGGUGGGGGAGUGGCUUACCAAGGCUUUGACGGGUCGCCGGCCGGAGAGGGUGACCGGCCACAUUGGGACUGAGAGACGGCCCAGACGCCUACGGGAGGCAGCAGUGGGGAAUAUGACACAAUCGGCGGGAGCCUGAGGCAGCGACGCCGCGUGCGGGAUGACGGCCUGCUGGGUGUAAACCGCUUUCGCCUGUGACGAAGCGUGAGUGACGGUAAUCGGUAAAGAAGCACCGGCUAACUACGUG